rnacentral:rRNA from 1 species
UACGUAGGGGGCUAGCGUUGUCCGGAAUCAUUGGGCGUAAAGCGCGUGUAGGCGGCCCGGUAAGUCCGCUGUGAAAGUCCAGGGCUCAACCCUGGGAUGCCGGUGGAUACUGUAGGGCUCGAGUCCGGAAGAGGCGAGUGGAAUUCCUGGUGUAGCGGUGAAAUGCGCAGAUAUCAGGAGGAACACCAAUGGCGAAGGCAGCUCGCUGGGACGUGACUGACGCUGAGACGCGAAAGCGUGGGGAGCAAACAGG